CUACAAUCCUCAAGGUUGGUAUCAUGCCAAGGUUGUGUUGGUGCCGUGAAAAGGGUUCUUGGAAAACUUGAAGAUGGAAGAUUGUCUUGUUUCAAUUGGCGGCGUUCUUUUGGGGAGGAAAUUGCUAACUUUCAGCUUAAAUUCGGGUCUAAGAGGACAUGUCUUGGAAUUUUUCUUAUACAUAUGAAUUGUGUUAAAAUUCUAGACCAAGAGGAGAUGAAAAUUUUUUGUUUUUUGCCACUUUCUUAUGUAUAUCUUAAGAUGUAAUGAGAUAACAUUGUUAGUUCAUCAAUUUAUGAAAGUCAAGUUAGAAGGAAA